rnacentral:rRNA from 1 species
UACGUAGGGUGCAAGCGUUAAUCGGAAUUACUGGGCGUAAAGCGUGCGCAGGCGGUUGGCAAAGUCAGCUGUGAAAGCCCCGGGCUUAACCUGGGAAUGGCGGUUGAAACUUGUCGACUAGAAUCUGGCAGAGGGGGGUGGAAUUCCACGUGUAGCAGUGAAAUGCGUAGAGAUGUGGAGGAACACCGAUGGCGAAGGCAGCCCCCUGGGCUGAGAUUGACGCUCAGGCACGAAAGCGUGGGGAGCAAACAGG